CUUUUGUUUUUCGCUAAAGUUAAAAUUCCCUCUCUUUUUUUUCUUUCCAAUUAUUCUUCCUCUUUCCCAAUCUCGCCAAUCCCUUGCUCCUCUCCCUCUUUCUUAUGUCUGCCCAUUACCACAGUUUGCCCCGCUUUGAUUUCAAUUGGGAAUUUAUAAGUCACCAUUUAGACUACAUCUUUGAUUUUUACAGUUAUUGUGAUCGCCGUCUUUCUCUAAAAAGCCUAGCUACUCCUGCCUAAUUUUAUUUCCCUUGCUCUCUUUUACACAACCCUCUCAAUUCUAAAUCCUCCUUUCGACAACCCGCAAUCAACCAGAGAUUAUUGGACUGCAAGCUGUUGGGAGAGACAAAAAGAGGGCGAGAGUUGUAGGGUUCGAUGGCCAGUGGCUUCGAUGCGGCGGAAGCAACUACCUUAUCCUGUGUUCAAUGCGGGAAGCCUGCGCAUAUUCAGUGCCCAAAGUGCAUGGAAUUAAAGCUUCCUCAUGAAGGUGCCGCUUUUUGAGCAUAUAUUUCAGCUUCUAGGAGACUGUCAUCUUAUGUUCCCAAGGAGUUGGAGGAGUAUAUUGCUACUGCAUAUUCAAGCAUUCACAUGAAGAAGCUAAGUUAAAUGCCCCACAUUCCUACGCAACCACUACAACUCUUCUUAGCAUCCUUCGUAUAUCAACUUUGUGUAGAGAAAGAAUAGCUGAAAGAAUCAGGUAUUGCAAGAGUUGGUUCCUAGUGCAAACAAGAUUAUGGCUUUAUCCUUGAUUUGACUAUGGGGCAUAAUUAAUGUUUGAAGAGAUAUGGUUAUGGGACCAGAAUAUUCAUGAAUAAACAUGGAGUGGAAUGGUCCAGAUCUUACUAGCAUGGGUAUUUACCGAAAAAAUAUGGCCAGACAUGACUUGGUUCACUUUUGUGAUAUUGUAAUCUAUAUUUGUUGUGAUAUAAUUAUCGCCCAAUACUGAAGUUUGUUGGUUGGAGUCUAUAUUGGAUUUCUUAGUGUUUCAAU